rnacentral:sRNA from 1 species
AAACAAAAAACUAAAAA